CCUACGGGAGGCAGCAGUGAGGAAUAUUGGGCAAUGGAGGCAACUCUGACCCAGCCAUGCCGCGUGAAGGAAGACGGCCCUAUGGGUUGUAAACUGUCCUUAUAGAGGAAGAAACCCUCCCACGUGUGGGAGGCUGACGGUACUCUACGAAUAAGCACCGGCUAACUCCGUGCCAGCAGCCGCGGUAAUACGGAGGGUGCAAGCGUUAUCCGGAAUCAUUGGGUUUAAAGGGUCCGUAGGCGGGCAAUUAAGCCAGAGGUGAAAUCCCACAGCUCAACUGUGGAACUGCCUUUGAUACUGGUUGUCUUGAGUUAUAUUGAAGUGGAUAGAAUAUGUAGUGUAGCGGUGAAAUGCUUAGAUAUUCUAUAGAACACCGAUUGCGAAGGCAGUCUACUAACURUAUACUGACGCUAAUGGACGAAAGCGUGGGG
rnacentral:rRNA from 1 species